GACGAACGCUGGCGGCGUGCUUAACACAUGCAAGUCGAACGGAAAGGCCCCCUUGUGGGGUACUCGAGUGGCGAACGGGUGAGUAACACGUGAGUAACCUACCCUUGACUUUGGGAUAACUUCAGGAAACUGGGGUUAAUACCGGAUAGGAGCUCCUGCUGCAUGGUGGGGGUUGGAAAGUUUCGGCGGUUGGGGAUGGACUCGCGGCUUAUCAGCUUGUUGGUGGGGUAGUGGCUCACCAAGGCUUUGACGGGUAGCCGGCCUGAGAGGGUGACCGGCCACAUUGGGACUGAGAUACGGCCCAGACUCCUACGGGAGGCAGCAGUGGGGAAUAUUGCACAAUGGGCGGAAGCCUGAUGCAGCAACGCCGCGUGCGGGAUGACGGCCUUCGGGUUGUAAACCGCUUUCGCCUGUGACGAAGCGUGAGUGACGGUAAUGGGUAAAGAAGCACCGGCUAACUACGUG
rnacentral:rRNA from 1 species